rnacentral:lncRNA from 1 species
AGACUCGGGGAAGUGUUUUUAUAGACAUGGCAAAGGUAGUUGCAGCUUCUUUUAGGAAACGAAAGAUAAACCUCAGAUCAGGUGAUAAUCAGCACUCUUUCUAUGACCCUGUGCAAGAACAGGAAACGGAAAUAGCUAACCUGACGAAACUGAAAAGGUUUAACUGCCUUGACAAGGCUGCUGUGAUAACAGAUCCAGGGGAAUUGGAUGCACAAGGUAUGCCUAAAAAUAGUUGGAAAUUGUGCAGUGUACAACAGGUACAACAAUUGAAGUGUUUGGUUGGAAUUAUACCAGUAUGGUUUUCAGGCAUUGGCUGUUUCCUAGUCAUGGACCAGCAAAGCACAUUUGGAGUCCUGCAAGCAAUUCAAAUGAACAGGUCAGUUGGGAAUCAUUUCAAAAUUCCACCUGCUUGGUUGUCCAUAACAUCGAUGAUUGCACUCUCUAUCUGGAUAUACAUUUACGAAGGAAUAUACAUCCCCAAUGCUAAGAAAAUAUUGAAAAGGCGUUCAAGGUUAAUGCUGCAGCACAGGAUUGGAAUCGGGAUUGUUAUGUCAAUCCUCUGCAUGGUGGUAGCUGGAGUUGUUGAAAAGAGGCGCCGAGAACUAGCUAUAAGGCAAGGUUCUUUCACCUCCCCAGUUCAUGUUUUAGUCCUCAUGCCUCAGUUUAUCCUAUCUGGCCUUACAGAAGCUUUUUCUGCUGUUGCUAUAAUGGAAUUUGUCACAGUACAAAUGCCAGAAAGCAUGAGAAGUGUUGCGGGUUCAAUUUUUUUUCUCAGCCUGUCAAUUGCAAGCUACCUAAGUGCCCUCAUUGUCAAUGUAAUACACACUGUAACUGGACGAAACAGAAAAUCACCAUGGCUUGGGGGACAUGAUCUUAACAAGAACAGGCUCGAUUAUUACUAUUACAUUAUUGCUACUCUAGGAGCCAUCAACUUGAUAUAUUUCACUUUCUUUGCAAGCAGUUAUGUGCCUUGUCACAAAGCUGUAAAAGUUGCAGAAGAAUCGCAGUUACAGAACUCAGCCAAUCAAUUAGAGGCUAGAGAUUUUCCACCGAAUGAGAUUAUGCAGGACGAGGAAAGAGGAUUAGACGCAAGGACAACAUAAAUAGAGAAACUGCUUUGCUUUGCCGAGAGAUUGUUUCUUUGCGGUUGGCUUUGAGUAAUCUGUAAAUACCACUCGUGGUGGUGGAUUGCUUAAUUUGCUUCAGAAGAAUGCAAUUCAAUAUCACACAAAUUCUUGCUAUAAAUCAUAACUAUGAAAAUAUAUGUUGCAAGCAUAGAUUAUUUUGGAAAAGCUGUGGGAUGUCUCUUCCCCGGUAUAACUAAUUUUUGUUCAUGAAUGAUGAGAAACGUUUGAAGUUGGUUGCCCCUCAUUGAAUUUGAUUGAGGAAAGAUUGAUAAUCCAAUGUUAAUUGAUGAAAGGUCGUGACACUAAACAAAUUGAUCCAGAUUAGGACUCUGAUAAAUUAAAUAGAGUCAAGGAUUAAACGGUUAAAAUAGGGUCAAACCAUAGGUCAAAAAUAAUUAAAUAAAUAAAUGCACCCAGAUUGCCCAAAAGACAUUGUAGAUUGCAACAAAGCUAACAACCUGAUGAUGAGCAGUGAGAUCAAUCGUAUGAAAGGUGACGAGAAUAAGAGAUAAGUACUCUUAAAAUCAUAUUGAUAAUGGGGUAGUUGGAAAAGAAAAAUCAUAUGCAACAUGAUUGAGGAAAUGAAAUAACAGUACUACGCCCAAUCUGGACAAGAAUCAAAGUAUAUUGAACUAAAAUUUUCGCAACGUAGUAUAUUCAUAUUGCAACAUUUUAUCGAACACUUGGUAUGCAAAAAUUGUAGGUAAUGCAAACACAAAAAGAAUAACAGCACUGUGUUCCUAUUUACUGAAGUCAACAAGGAUAUGGGGAAUAUGAUAUACAGACGGACCAAAUAUACAUAAAAAAAAAAAUAAUAAUAAAAAAAUAAAAUAAAAAGGAACAUGAAGCUUGCCUGAGGAGCUCGAUAUGGCAGAGACUGAAAUUAGUAUUCUAGAGGGUAAUGUGAAGAAAGUUGUGACAGUGAUUGCAUUUUGGCCAUGGC